CCAGGAGGCCGUUGCCGGCGAUGCGGUUCCGCCCGUGGAUGCCGCCCGCGGCCUCCCCCGCGACGAAGAGGCCGGGCACGGGCGUGGCUGCGGCGGAGAGGGCGCGGGCGGAGGCGUCGACCCGCACGCCGCCCAAGGAGUAGUGCACCGCC
rnacentral:SRP_RNA from 17 species